CCGUAGGUGAACCUGCGGAGGGAUCAUUACACAAAUAUGAAGGCGGGCUGGAACCUCUCGGGGUUACAGCCUUGCUGAAUUAUUCACCCUUGUCUUUUGCGUACUUCUUGUUUCCUUGGUGGGUUCGCCCACCACUAGGACAAACAUAAACCUUUUGUAAUUGCAAUCAGCGUCAGUAACAAAUUAAUAAUUACAACUUUCAACAACGGAUCUCUUGGUUCUGGCAUCGAUGAAGAACGCAGCGAAAUGCGAUAAGUAGUGUGAAUUGCAGAAUUCAGUGAAUCAUCGAAUCUUUGAACGCACAUUGCGCCCUUUGGUAUUCCAAAGGGCAUGCCUGUUCGAGCGUCAUUUGUACCCUCAAGCUUUGCUUGGUGUUGGGCGUCUUGUCUCUAGCUUUGCUGGAGACUCGCCUUAAAGUAAUUGGCAGCCGGCCUACUGGUUUCGGAGCGCAGCACAAGUCGCACUCUCUAUCAGCAAAGGUCUAGCAUCCAUUAAGCCUUUUUUUCAACUUUUGACCUCGGAUCAGGUAGGGAUACCCGCUGAACUUAAGCAUAACAAUAG
rnacentral:rRNA from 1 species